UUCACCAUUCCAGCUUUUAUGAUACCAGUUCCCAAAACUUAUCUUUUUACUUUUGCUAUCAAUUUCUUUGAAAACCUCUCUCGUCUCUUUCAUCUCGUCUCUUCUGCUCUCAACUUGGCUGCCUUAAUCUCCGAUUUUCCUUCUCGCGACGAGCAUGGCCUGGUCCUCCCCUUGCAGGUAAUAUCCUACUCCCCUCUUCAAGGCUUCUUUGGCAAGGAAAUGAGCAUAACCAUUUUCUGAUCUAGGGAUAAAAUGAAACUCGAUAUUCUGAAAAUAUGUCUUUUUGCUUUGGAUGUCUCUGAUGAGCGCUCCUAUAAUCGAUUUGUCUGGAUCUUUUGUUUGGCAUUUCUUUAUCACUGUUUUUGAGUCCCCCACUAUUUGUAAACUGUUAAAACCCAUGGAAAUGGCUAACUGCACCCCUUAUAACCCUACAUGUGCUUUCGUUGCGAAUGGUGUCGGUAUAUCGGAGUGGAUAACUGUUUUGGAUACCAAGAUCUCACCCCUCUCAUCACGUAUUGCCAGACCCGAAGUUGAUCUGAAGGAUCUCUUGUCAAAAGCCGCAUCAAAGAAGGCUAUAACGCCCCGUACCCGAGACCGUCGCCGGAGUCGAACACGAGGUGUUAAUAGACUUAAUUCAUUACUUAAACAACUCAAACAAUUUAUUUUUAAAAUUUUCAGUCAAGCUAACAAUCUGCGUCAUAGUCAUUUAAAAAUUCAUAUAUCGAGUUACGAAAUUAGAAAUCCAAUUCCGUAAAUUUUUGUUGAAACUAUACUCAUAUAUAUAUUUACUAAUUUUUUAUAGAAUUUUUGGUCGAGCAAAUUAGUAUAGUUUAUUAGUUAAAGCCUCCCCUGUUUCAGAGUUUGGCUGCUCUGACUUCUGUGUAUUACGAAUCAAAUAUCUCCCUGUACAGAGUUUCAAUGACUAUACCGUUUGCUUCUAAUAAAAUUAGACUCAAUAAGGAAUCUGUACAUAUAAAUUAUGACUUCUAAUUAUCUUUGAACAAUUUAUGGUGAAUUUCCAAAGUCAGAAUAGGGGAUCCAGAAAUUGUUCUGGCCCUGUUUCACAAAAAUUCAAACAUCUCAUAAAAUAUAACUCAUAUACCUAUUUUGUUCCAUCCAUAUGAAAAUAGACUCAUAAUUCUUCAAUUCCAUAUAUUAUUCAUCAUCUAAUUAUAACUCUACUAUUUUUAGUGAUUUUUCAAACUCACGUCACUGUUGCUGUCUGAAUCUAUUUUAUGGUAAAUUUUACCUAUUUCAUGGUUUCCAUGGAUUAGCUAGCAAUUUAGCAUACAUAAUACCAAAUAUGAUCAUGAUUAGCCAUUCCAAUGGCUAAUCAUUACCAAGCAUUUCCAUACCACUCAAUAACCAUAUCAUAAGAUCAUAUACACAAAAUGAUUAUAAUGUUAUAUAUGCCAUACUCAAAAUAUACAAGCCAUUAUGCCAAGAUGGUAUACGGAUAGUGUGAGCGUGCCGCCGACCGUUUCCGAUUUCCAAGCUGGCUUAUCAACACUACAAGGAAUGAAAAGGAGGGAGUAAGCAUAAAUGCUUAGUAAGUUCACAUGCAAAUAGCAAGUAACAUAACUAUAUAAGCAAACAUAAAACAUCAUUUACAUAAUCAUCACCGAGACAUUCAUAUCACAUUUUCAUUUAUCAUCUUACCAUAUUUUUGUUAUAUCGAGUUUUCAACCCGAGGGUUAAGUACAUACCUGUUCAAAGUAUUCAUUUCACAACACUUACCAAUACAUCCCUUUCAUCUCGAGUAUUCCUCCGCUUGAGUAAAAUUUUACCCGUUGAACACAUCGAAAUAUAAUUCGGAUACAUGGAAAGUUUGCACAUAAGUGCCACAUAUGUAGCCAAGUUACUAUGUAACCCGCCCAUAAGCUAACUCGGACUCAACUCAACGAGCUCGGGCAUUCUCAUCCACAAGUAAACUCGGACUCAACUCAACGAGCUCGGAUGCCUAAUUACAUCUCUCGAACUCAGACUCAACUCAACGAGUUCGGACAUUCGCAUCCAUAAGUGAACUCGGACUCAACUCAACGAGCUCGGAUGCCUAAUUACAUCUCUCGAACUCGGACUCAACUCAACGAGUUCGGACAUUCACAUCCAUAAGUGAACUCGGACUCAACUCAACGAGUUCGGAUGCCCAAAUAUCCUAGUGACAUGUCACUUGUAUCCUAAUCUAUUCCUAAGGUUCAACGGGACCUUUUUCCCAAUCAUGUGUCUCAACUAUCUUCAACGGAAUGCCAAUACCGAUACUCGGUAGUAUUUCACAUUUUCCAAGUAUAUCACACAAUUUGACAUAUUAUCAAACAAUUAUCACGAGUAUAAUAUUUCAUAAUAAUUAUCAUAUCAUUUAAAUAACAUAAAAACAUUUAAAAUAAUAACUAUGUUACCAACAUUUACAUAUGAACUUACCUCGUAUGCGAAAAUGGCUACUUUUACCAUUUCGUCCACAACUUGAUAUUUUCCACAUUUUAGCCCGAAUUUCAGUUUUCCUUGCUCUAUCAUUUAAAAUAUAGUCUAAUUAGGACUCACAUUAUUCAAAUUGACCCAAAAUCAUAUUUUGGCAAAAUUAUAGUUUUGCCCCUAAACUUUUGCAUAUUUACACUUUUGCCCCAAAGCUCGUAAAUUAAACUUCAGCCUAUUUUCUUAUGUUUUAUGACAUGCUGAUCAUUUUUCCCUUCUAUGGCAACAUCAAAUUCUCACUCUAACAUGUAUUUAUGACUAUUAGGUAUUUUUACCGAUUAAGCCUUUUUGCUAGUUUUCACUUAAAACCGAGUAGCACAAGUUGUCUAACAUAAUUUAAAACCUCAUAUUCUAUCAUAAAACACCAAAAUACACAAAUUUCACCUAUGGUUAUUUUUCCAAAUAUAAACCCUAGGUUAAAUUAUUGCUAGCAUAAGCUUAACCGAGCUACCGGGACUCCAAAAACGUAAAGAACUUGAAAAACGGGGCUAAAAUGGACUUACAAUCGAGCUUGGAAGCUUGAAAAACCCUAGCCAUGGUUUCUCCUUGCUAUAUUCGGCCAUGGGGUUGAAUAUGAGCAAAAUUGGCUUUUCAUUUUGUAUUUUAAUUCAUUUUACCCCUAAAUGAUCAAAAUGCCCUUACUACUAAACUUUCCAAAAAUUUCAUCCAUGUCCAAUUUUUGUCCAUAGACUUAGAAAUUGGUAAAAUUUCUAUUUAAGACCUCCUAAUUAAUAUUUCAAAACAAUUUCAUACUAGAAACUUCUAAAAUGUAAGUUUUACAAAUUAUUCGAUUUAGUCCUUAAUUUCAAUUUAAGCACUUUACGCAUAAAAUUUCUUCACGAAAUUUUCACACAAUCAUGCAAUCAUAUCAUAGACCUCAAAAUAAUCAUAAAAUAAUUAUUUCUAUCUCGAAUUUUGUGGUCACGAAAUCACUAUUCCGACUAGGCCCAAAAUCAGGAUAUUACAACUCUCCCCCCUUUAGGGAUUUUCGUCCCCGAAAAUCUUACCAGAAAAGUGGUCUUCACUUAGAUUCCUCAAUUUCAUAUUCGGUGCUGAAGAACUUUCACUCAGGCGGUGCCUCCAAUAUAUCUCAUUAAUUUCUCAUAUAUUCUGAAAGUUUACGAACUGAUCUCUUAAUUGUUCUUAAAUUUUCAACCCUUCUCCGUUUCCCUUGUCAUCUUGACAUAAAACCAGAUCUCAAUUUGGUUAAUAGAGACUAGAAUUCCAAGAAAUUCAACAAUAAAAAAGACUUGAAAUUCUACGAAUCUGAUGAGUAGGAAUUCAUUCAAUACCGAUAUGAUUUAUAGAUCUCGCCAAAUAUUUAACAAUAGGAUACAUCACAUUUUCCUCUUUCAGCUAUGGAAAUAAUUCUGAUAUGGCCUCAAGAGUAAUCCUUCUCAUUUCCAUCCCAAUAUCAACACUAACAAGGAUAAUUUUGAUAGAUCCCAAUGCUCGGCUUUAACCCCUUUAACAACUCCGAUUUUAUGUGACAUCGAAUGCUCUAAACUAUCACAUUACCUCACUGUCUUGAAACACAUCACAAUUCAUACAACAGUACAUUACUGAAAGUCAGGAAGUAUUUGCUCAAUGUAGACUAGUCUAGUUCAGACGCUUCGGUUACCGAUAUUCUCAUCUAUCCGAACUCUGUCAACAUGUAAUAAACUUUUCAGCUUUCACAAGACGAAAACCAUAUCAUUCGUAGUGACUUUAACUAAUAUCCAACUCUUUCUAAUAAAUAUACACUUCUCAUUCAGACUAUUUACUCUUUUAUCAGUACAAAAUAAAAUUCUAUUAUCAGACUUGAGAAAAAUAAUCCUGACAUAAUUGUCACAUGAAAUCUUUCAAAUAAAUAAUUCACCAUACCGACUGAAACUCGCGCUUUUAUCACUUAUGCAUUUACUGAUGUCAAAUCCUUACACAAAAAUUAGAAAAAUCCCAAUAGUAAAAUCACCACAUUACCAAAAUCAAAUUAGAAGUAUAGUUAUAUUUGACAUGAUUAUCACGAGCUGAAGAACGCACUUCGAACAUGAGUCAUAAUUGACAAAUUAUGGAACAAAGAUAACAAGAAAACAGAAUAAAAAAUCCAGAAUAAAGAGAUCCAGGAUAAAGAAACCCAAGAUACGAUAUUAUGCCGGAGAAUCCAAAACCAAACUCAUAGAGAAAAUACAGAAUACCCCGAUAAUUCUUCAAAGAAAGAAAGUCCAAAAGAAAAAAUCAUUUAAUCCCACUGGAAUCAAAUAUAACAAGAACAAUAUAUCUUUCCAUACAUAUAUAUCAGAUAAAGCAUCAAGUAGAAGAAACAGAAACAUAAUAUCUUACGUAUUCUCUCAUCAAUUCUUAUCAGACGAAAUGAAAUAGAAAACCCGAUGAAAUAGAGCAAUAUAAAUUAUAAACCAGUCAAACUACCAAUGCUUUCAUCCAACACCAGAAUUAGAAGACAUUCCUAUAUAACAAGAAUUUCUUCAGAAGAUCAAUAGCCAUAGAAAUAUUUCUGAGAACGGGUAAACACAUAGAACAUCUCAAAAGAGACUGCUAAAUCUGUCUAGUCAUAACUAUCACACUCAGAUAGUUCACAUUUCAAAUAUCAUUUCCCCAACUAGUUCUGCCAUCACAAAUUUCAUAUUAAACCAUUCACUAAAGAAGGCUAGUUCUGAAUAAAUUUCGAUUUACACUUUUCUCGACCUUGCACCUGAGUAAUUCGAUUUACCAAAGAGAAUUCCUUCUCUAAUUGGGAUAGUGCAUAACUCCAAUAAUCUUUACGUCAAUCCGAUACUUUACUGGCUCUGACUUUACUUAUCAGCUCAUUUUCAAUCUCUGAUCAUACUUAUAAUUAUUCUAUCACUAAACUCUUUGGGUUCUCAACCGGAAACUUAUUCAAUACAAAUCUCAUGAAAUUCCAUUAUAAGUACCACUUCGGUAAGGGGGAGGGGUUGUAGGACCUCUGACUCGACUUUCUUAUACAUACACAUAUGACAUAACUCCCAUCAUCAUAGCAACAUCAUCAAAAUCAUGUCAUUCAUUCAGGCAAUGCAACAUUCAUGUUGGCUUACACAAAUUUUCCUAUUGUCCAUUUAGACAAUAUACUUAUGCAUACAUUCUAUGUUUUCUAGAUAGCUUUACUUAUCCAUUCAUUUAAUUAAAUUAAGUCAUGCUCAUGACAUCAUAUAAGACCAAACAAACAUAGAUAUUUGCAUCACAAUCACAACUUUCAUUUCAUGCAUCAUCAUGUACAUAUCAUUACAAUCAUAUAAUUCAGUCCAACAAUUUAACAUCGAUAAGUUCAUUUCAUUAUAAUCCUUUAUCUCAUAAAAAUUGUAUAUCAUUAACAUUCAUCAACAUUCAACGUUCAAUCGAGACAAGGACAUUUUCAUUCGUAUCAUGAUAUUAUGACCUUUAUUCAUACCUCUACUACUUUCUAUUUAUUCCGUUCAUCUUAUCAAGUAAGCCACAUACACUACAUCGUAUGAGCAUUAAGCAAAUAUGAAUAUUUAUCACAUAUGUAUCAUAAACUUUUAUUCAUACUUUUCUGAACCGAGACUUAUCAUAAUCAUAAUUUUACUCAAAUACCUUCACAUAACAUUGAACAUGGUCGGCGCAGCUCGGUUGGAGAGUACCCUGUCUAAAUAAGACGGUACUCAUACGCGUCGGAAGACAUCACACUAUCACAGAUCAGUGGCAUGUAUAGCUAAACUUUUACACAUGCUAGGUUAUUCUGAGAAUUGACUAAACCUACUCCGAUACCACCAAAUGUAACGCCCCGUACCCGAGACCGUCGCUGAAGUCGAACACGAGGUGUUAAUAGACUUAAUUCAUUACUUAAAUAGAUCAAACAAUUUAUUUUUAAAAUUUUCAGUCAAGCUAACAAUCUGCGUCAUAGUCGCUUAAAAAUUCAUAUCUCGAGUUACGAAACUCAAAAUCCAAUUCUGUAAAUUUCCCCUAAAACUAGACUCAUAUAUAUAUUUACUAAUUUUUUUAUAGAAUUUUUGGUCGAGCAAAUUAGUACAGUUUAUUAGUUAAAGUCUCCCCUGUUUCAGAGUUUGGCUGCUCUGACCUCUGUGUAUUACGAAUCAAAUAUCUCCCUGUACAGAGUUUCAAUGACUAUACCGUUUGCUUCUAAUAAAACUAGACUCAAUAAGGAAUCUGUACAUAUAAAUUAUGACUUCUAAUUAUCUUUGAACAAUUUAUGGUGAAUUUCCAAAUUCAGAACAGGGGAUCCAGAAAUUGCUCUGGCCCUGUUUCACAAAAAUUUAAACAUCUCAUAAAAUAUAACUCAUAUACCUGUUUUGUUCCAUCCAUAUGAAAAUAGACUCAUAAUUAUUCAAUUCCAUAUAUUAUUCAUCAUUUAAUUGUAUCUCUACUAUUUUUAGUGAUUUUUCAGACUCACAUCACUGCUACUGUCUGAAUCUAUUUUAUGGUAAAUUUUACCUAUUUCAUGGUUUCCAUGGAUUAGCUAGCAAUUUAGCAUACAUAACACUAAAUAUGAUCAUGAUUAGCUAUUCCAAUGGUUAAUCAUUACCAAGCAUUUCCAUACCACUCAAUAACCAUAUCAUAAAACCAUAUACACAAAAUGAUUAUAAUGUUAUACAUACCAUACUCAAAAUAUACAAGCCAUUAUGCCAAGAUGGUAUACGGAUAGUGUGAGCGUGCUGCCGACCGUUUCCGAUUUCCAAGCUGGCUUGUCAACACUACAAGGAAUGAAAAGGAGGGAGUAAGCAUAAAUGCUUAGUAAGUUCACAUGCAAAUAGCAAGUAACAUAACUAUAUAAGCAAACAUAAAACAUCAUUUGCAUAAUCAUCACCGAGACAUUCAUAUCACAUUUUCAUUUAUCAUCUUACCAUAUUGUUGUUAUAUCGAGUUUUCAACCCGAGGGUUAAGUACAUACCUGUUCAAAGUAUUCAUUUCACAACACUUACCAAUACGUCCCUUUCAUCUCGAGUAUUCCUCCGCUUGAGUAAAAUUUUACCCGUUGAACACAUCGGAAUAUAAUUCGGAUACAUGGAAAGUUUGCACAUAAGUGCCACAUAUGUAGCCAAGCUACUAUGUAACCCGCCCAUAAGCGAACUCGGACUCAACUCAACGAGCUUGGGCGUUCGCAUCCACAAGUGAACUCGGACUCAACUCAACGAGCUCGGGUGCCUAGUUACAUCUCUCGAACUCAGACUCAACUCAACGAGUUCGGACAUUCGCAUCUAUAAGUGAACUCGGACUCAACUCAACGAGCUCAGAUGCCUAGUUACAUCUCUCGAACUCGGACUCAACUCAACGAGUUCGGACAUUCACAUCCAUAAGUGAACUCGGACUCAACUCAACGAGUUCGGAUGCCCAAAUAUCCUAGUGACAUGUCACUUGUAUCCUAAUCCAUUCCUAAGGUUCAACGGGACCUUUUUCCCAAUCAUGUGUCUCAACCAUCUUCUACGGAAUGCCGAUACCGAUACUCGAUAGUAUUUCACAUUUUCCAAGUAUAUCACACAAUUUGACAUAUUAUCAAACAAUUAUCACGAGUACAAUAUUUCAUAAUAAUUAUCAUAUCAUUUAAAUAACAUAAAAACAUUUAAAAUAAUAACUAUGUUACCAACAUUUACAUAUGAACUUACCUCGUAUGCGAAAAUGGCUACUUUUACCAUUUCGUCCACAACUUGGUAUUUUCCCCAUUUUAGCCCGAAUUUUAGUUUUCCUUGCUCUAUCAUUUAAAAUAUAGUCUAAUUAGGACUCACAUUAUUCAAAUUGACCCAAAAUCAUAUUUUGGCAAAAUUAUAGUUUUGCCCUUAAACUUUUGCAUAUUUACACUUUUGCCCCAAAGCUCGUAAAUUAAACUUCAGCCUAUUUUCUUAUGUUUUAUGACAUGCUGAUCAUUUUUCCCUUCUAUGGCAACAUCAAAUUCUCAUUCUAACAUGUACUUAUGACUAUUAGGUAUUUUUACCGAUUAAGUCCUUUUGCUAGUUUUCGCUUAAAACCAAGUAGCACAAGUUGUCUAACAUAAUUUAAAACCUCAUAUUCUAUCAUAAAACACCAAAAUACACAAAUUUCACCUAUGGUUAUUUUUCCAAAUAUAAACCCUAGGUUAAAUUAUUGCUAGCAUAAGCUUAAUCGAGCUACUGGAACUCCAAAAACGUAAAGAACUUGAAAAACGGGGCUAGAAUGGACUUACAAUCGAGCUUGGAAGCUUGAAAAACCCUAGCCAUGGUUUCUCCUUGCUAUAUUCGGCCAUGGGGUUGAAGAUGAGCAAAAUUGGCAUUUAAUUUUGUAUUUUAAUUCAUUUUACCCCUAAAUGACCAAAAUGCCAUUACUACUACUAAACUUUCCAAAAAUUCCAUCCAUGUCCAAUUUUUGUCCAUAGACUUAGAAAUUGGUAAAAUUUCUAUUUAAGACCUAAUUAAUAUUUCAAAACAAUUUCAUACUAGAAACUUCUAGAAUGCAAGUUUUACAAAUUAUUCGAUUUAGUCCCUAAUUUCAAUUUAAGCACUUUAUGCAUAAAAUUUUUUCACGAAAUUUUCACACAAUCAUGCAGUCAUAUCAUAGACCUCAAAAUAAUCAUAAAAUAAUUAUUACUACCUCGGAUUUUGUGGUCACGAAACCACUAUUCUGACUAGGCCCAAAAUCAGGAUAUUACAAAGACAGUGACCUUUGUGCUUCUUGCUGUAUGUUCAUGACCUUUAGCAACUUUUAAAGUAAGUUUUUUCUAUUCUACUCCAUUCAACUCUAAAAUGUAGCUUAUGACUUGAUUCGAGAUAUCUCUGCUUGUAGAGUUCUUUCUUUCAUAAAUUAACUGAUUUUUGUAUGUCCAGAUUGUCCAUAAACCACAACAUAAGAGUCGACAUUGCUCAAUAUUUCCUUGUCUAAAAACCCAAGUAAGCCACUCCCAGAUACUGUUAAGAUCAUUAUUACAUACCCAAGCAAGAUUUAAAUUUCACCACACAUCUAUUGCUGUAGGACAGUACCGAAAGAUAUGAUUGUGUCUUCUUCAAGGGUGUGACAUCUGGGACAAAUAGCUACUGUGACCACUUUUUUAUUCUUUAGAUUUGAUAGAGUAAGAAUAUAGUUCCAUGAAAUUCUCCAAUUUGUAAUUUUAAUUUUUGGAGGGAGAUGUAAAUUCCAUAAUUUCCUAUAGAAAUCUCUAGUCUCGGUCUAUAAAUAAUUAUUACUAGGAUCCGAAUUAGCCCCCUAUAAUAGUUUAUAGGCACUCCUGACUGAGAAUUCUUCUGAUGAUUCCCCUCGCCAUACUUGGAAGUCUUCAUAAGUUGUCUCUGCCAGAGGGAUUUGCAGUAUUUUCCUUGCAACAUCCGCAUUAAAGGUACUAAUGACUAAUUUUGUAUUCCAAGUUCUGCUAGCUGGAUCAAUCAAAUCUGAUACUGUCUUAUAUUUUCAUUACUAGUCUUAUUUUGUAACCCGUCUAUUUCAGCUCUCGAUAUCCAUAAGUCACCCCAAAUGGAAAUACGAUCCCCCGUGCCAACCCUCCAACAUAAUCCUUUCUCCAAGAUUCCUUUUGCUACCCAGACACUCUUCCAGGUAAGCGAAGGUAAAUUUCCUAAUUGCGCAUUGAAGAAAUCUGUACUUGGAUAAUACUUUGCCUUUAAAACACGACUAAGCAAAGAAUUAGGAAAAUUAAUAAGACGCCACCCUUGUUUGGCUAAUAACGCAAUAUUAAAUUUAUCGAGAUUUCGAAAGCCUAAUCCACCAUCUUCUUUUAAAGAACAUAAAUCUUUCCAAGUACACCAAUGAAUGCCUUAUCUCGAUUUUUCUGCCAACAGAAUUUUACAAAAAUGCCUUCUAUUGCUCCACAUAGAGAUUUAGGGAGUAAGAAACAUGCCAUAGUAUAGGUUGGAAUAGCUUAAAGAAUGGCCUUUAUAAAUACCUCUUUUCCGCAUUGAGAAAGAUGUUUAACACUCCAGCUCUCAAUCUAUUCUUUAAUUCUAUCCUUCAAAAUUUGAAAUGCCAUCUUCUUUCUUCUAUCCGCCAUGUUAGGAAGACCAAGGUAUCUUUCCGGGUUAUUUGAACUUCGUACACCAAGAAUCCUUGAAAUUGUUGUUUUGUCCUUCUCUUGUAUAUUAGAACUAAAGAAAACUGUAGAUUUGCCAAAACUAUAGAUUUUCCAUAGUUGACGUAUUGACCAGAACAAUUCCCGUAUUUAAUCAAAAUCCGCUUAAGUGAUUGAGCUCCUCUUUCUGUAGCCUCCCUAAACAGUAUGCAGUCAUCUGCAAAUAAUAAGUAUGAGACCUGCGGACUACUUUUGCUUGCCUUGACCCCUCUAAGUAUGUUUCCCCUAAUAGCCAAUCGUAUUAGACUCGAAAGACCUUCUCCACAAAGUAAGAAAAGAAACGAACUCAAAGGGUCACCCUGUCUUAAGCCCCUUAUAGGGCGAAAGCUAUCUCCUACAUGACCAUUAAAAUUCACCGAAUAAGAAACUGUAGAAAGACAUUUCAUUAAAGAGUCAACCCAGCCUAGAUCAAAACCCAUUCUUUUCAUAAUUUUUUCGAUAAAAAAUCAUUCUACUCUAUCAUACGCUUUACUCAUAUCUAAUUUUGCCGCCAUAACUCCUUUUCUCCCCGUCUUCUUCUAUUUUAAAGUAUGAAGGAUUUCAUAGGCCAGCAAUACAUUAUCCGAAAUCAAUCUCCCUGGUACAAACACACUUUGUGCAAGAUCUAUGCAUUUAUCAAUGAUAAUCCGGAGACAAUUUGCGAUGACCUUAGCUAUCAACUUGUAAAACACAUUACAUAGGCUAAUAGGUCUGAAAUGAAUGAUGCUAGAAGGAUUUGGGAUUUUUGGUAUUAAUAUGACAUUAGUUUUAUUAAUUAAACUGAUAUCCAUACCUCUAUUUAGAAUUUGUAGACAAAAGGAUUCACAUCUUCCCCAAUGAUUUGCCAACAUUUCUGGUAGAAUAAAGCCAGAAAUUCAUCUUCUCUUGGCGCUUUCGUUGGACCUGAUUUGGAUAAGGCCUCUCAAAUUUCCUCUUUUGUAUAUCUCUCCAUCAGUCGAUAAUUAUCCUCUUCGGAAAUACAGCAAUCAAUUCCUGACAAGAGGUGCUCGCAAUUUCCUCUCCUUCUAGCUGCAAACAGAUUUUGAAAAUAAGCUCUAACAAUUGCUUCCAUUUCCCAAACCUCCUUUGUUUCCUUACCAUCCUCAUAUUUCAUUUUGAGAAUGAUAUUUCUUCGUCGUUGUUGUGCUGCUUGAUUAUGAAAAAAUGCGGUAUUUCUAUCUCUAUACUGCAACCAGUUAACUCUCGCCCUCUGUUCCCAAUAUCAUUCAUCCUUCUCUAUCUCAAAAUUAAGUUGAAUCUUUGUAUCAAUAAGUUCUGCCAAAUUGUCAUCAUUCCUUUUCGAUUCUAGCAGUUCAACCAAUCUGGCAGUUAGCACCUUCUUUUUUGCUUUUUUGCUAUGUCUAAUUUGACUAGCCCAUCUAACCAGCCCUUCCCUUACCCUUUCCAAUUUCAGUAGCAAAUCCCCUGUUGAAUUUUCCCAAAUACGUUUUACCUCCUCACCAAAUGAAUCCUCCAAGACCCACAAAGCUUCAAACUUGAAAUUCCUUCUAUGGCGCUCAUUAUCUUUUUUUCUGUAGUAAUAAGUAGUGGGCAAUGGUCUAAAAAAGAAUGUGGAAGGUGUUGAAUUGUAGCCUCAGGGAAUAAAGAUAUCCAACCCUCAGUAGCAACUCCCCUAUCUAGACGUUCUUGAAUAUUCGUUUCUGGUAGAUUCCCUAUUUCCCAAGUGAACCACUUCCCAGUAUAGCCCACAUCAAAUAAAUGACAAUCUGCCAAUAUAGUACGAAAAGAAACUAUACGUCUCUCCUCUUGAGAUAAGCCUCCCUUCUUUUCAUAACCAUACAUAAUUUCAUUGAAAUCCCCACAAACUAACUAUAGGAGCUCAUCAUCAUUAUUCAAGUUUCUGAGAAGAUCCCACGAUUUGCACCUAUCUUGUAAACAAGGAGAGCCAUAAAACCCUGUAAAUCUCCACUUGUUACAUCAGCAUUAUCCUCAACAUGCACAUCAAUGUCUUUUUGAGAAACUUUUAAGAAUGAUUGUAUUAUCAUCAUACCAUGCCAGAUAAAAACCUCCUCUAGAUCCACAUGCUUCUACAUCAAUACCAUUAUGCAAGCCACAACUCCUUCGUAUUCUUUCCAUCUGAUUUCUAUUUAUUUUAGUCUUCAUGAAGAAGAACAUUUGGGGAUUAUAAAAAUUCAGCGAGUACCGAAGUUUUCGUAUUGUCCGUGGAUUCCCCAGAGCACAGACAUUCCAACUUAAGAUUUUCAUUGUUGCUAGUCGACUUGCCUUUUGGCAGCCGCCGAUAUGAAAAGAUUGCUAUUCACCAUGCUCCUAUCCCUGCUAGUCAAACUAGUAGCUUUAUUACUAACAAUAUAUACUUCAGAAUCUCCUCUUUGCCUCUUUUUUUCCUUCUUCUCCUAUUAAAAUCCCUUCCUCUACAUCAUGUUCCAUAGCAAAUUGAUUUUUAUCAACUGGUUGUUUUCCCCUUCUUUUAGAAAUAGUAGACAAGUUUCCUUCCAAAUUAAACCCUAAAAUGGGAUCAACAAAAAGCCCACUUCUAGGGUUAUCUAUCGCACCCCAAGAUCUAUAAUCAAAUGGCCUACUUCUGUCGAAAUGACUUCCCCUUAUUUCUUCUUCAUCCUCACGUAGCCAGACACUGUUUUGUGCUUGAACUCUUCUUGUUUGUGCUCUUAUCGAAAGAUCCCAGCCCAUUUUAGUAGUCUCGACUCCUAAUGCCAUUCUUGCCUCACAAAAGGAGUCACUGUGUCCCAAACGACCAUAAUAAAAACAAAAGAAUGUUAAUCUUUCAUAUUUGAAUCUGACAUAUGAUCUGUUUACAUAGAACAAAACUUAUUUUUUCCUCUUUAAAGGAUAUCUUACGUCCAAUUGAAUUCUAACUCGUAAAAAAUUCAGGUAUCCUUUUCCCAUAUUAGAACCAUCAUACUCCAUAAAAGUACCAAUGAAAUCACCUAAUUGCUUUGCUAAAACCUCAGAAAAGAAACCUGGAGGAAUAUCAUGAAUUUGAACCCAAAAAGGCGAUAAAACUAAAGGGACUUUUAACGGAUCUUCCCCCUACUUCAAAGCAUGUAAAAGCAGUAGAUGAUUAUUGAAUGUCUAGGGAAAGCCUUUCAAAACCCUUUCCAUAUCCAUACUAUGAAGAAAUUGAAACAGAAAUAUUUUUUCCCCAAGAUCCAAAAUUCGAACACCUCUGACCGGAUGCCACAGAUUUGCCAUCGUACUCUUCAUAGUAGAAAAGUGGAUAACACUGGCUGAUCGAAAAUACCCUACCAAACGAAAUUCUUUAUUCUUCCCUCUCUAGAAUCGAAAAAGACGGUAUUUGUAAAAUCGCCUCUUCUUCUUCAUUGAGAGUUAACCCAGCAAAAUUAGAUUCCAUGGAAACGAAUUAGAUCUCAUACAAUUGAGAGAAUAAUUGAGUAAAUUCUGACUUUCAAAAGAAACACCGCCACAAAAGAACAAAAUAAACCUAAACCCUGUCAGAGGAGACAAACAGAAACGUGCUAGGGUAGCAGACUAGUUCUCUCCUUUAUAAAUUUUAACUUUUAAAUUAAUUAAUUAAUUAUAAUUUAAAUAUUAUUUAUGGAUAUCUAUUUUGCUUUUAUAUUCAAAAUUAUUUUCCUGUUACAUAGUUUCAUUCUCUUAUAAAAAUACCAUAAAAUCUCUUAUACUAUGCCACGGAUUGCAAUUUAGUUUCUUUAUUGAAAAUUUAGGCAAAUUAGUCUUGUAUGUUAGAUGAAUGAGCAAAACAACCCCUUAUUAAAUUGCAUCGUUAAAUGUUUGUUUUGGUGUUUAUAUAUAAGGCAUAAUAACAAAUCUAGCCCUCAACUUUUACACAUUUAUUCAAUUUGACCCAUACUAUUUUAUUGGAAGUAAAUUAAAAAAAUUUUAAACUAAUAAGGCUAAAGGGUCAAAAAGCCUUAGUAUCAAAUUAAAAAAAUCAAUUAAUCCCUCUUAAAAUAUUAACAUUAUUAAAAAAUCAUGUAAAUUAUAAAAAAAUUAUAUAUACAUAUAGAUUUUAAAAUUAUAUAAUAUUUAUUAAAAAUAAUAGUACCGAGCCAUUAAAAUCUAAUAGUUACAAGAUUUAAAAAAAAUUUAACCCUACUCUUUUAUUAGAUCAAUAUUAUUAUUUUUAAUAAAAAAUUAUAAUUUUAAAAUAUAUAAAUUUUUUAUAAAUUUUGUUUAUAAUUUUUUAUGAUGUUUUAAUAAUUUUUAAAUUUUAAAAGGGCUUAAUUGAUUUUUUUAAUUUGUUACUAAGGCCUUUUUAUAACACCCCUAACCCGUAUCCGUCGUCGGAAUAAGGUUGCGAGGUAAUACCGAACAAUACACAUCAUUCACAUACAUAAUAUAAACAUUUAUGCAUUCAUAUAUAAAAUUCCUUCAAAUCAUUCACGUUGUCCCUUAUAAGACUUUACGAGACCUUAAAACAUGCUUAGAAGUGGUUCAGGACUAACUGAUAACAUUUGCAAAGUUUGAGAAACUUAGGAAAAUUUUCAACAUUAAAGGGUCACACACCCGUGUUAACAGGCCGUGUGCCUCACACGGCUACCAGACACGCCCGUGUUACAUGCUGUGUUAUUAUAACAUCCUGAAAUAGGGCUUAGUCAAAAUAGUGGUUUCGGGACCACAAAUCUGACAUAAAAAUAUUAAUUUUAUGAUUAUUAUGAGGCCUAGAAUAUGAAUAUAUGCAUGUGUUAAAGUUUCAUGAAGAAAAUCUAAGUAUAAAAUGUCCAAUUGGAAAUUAGGGACUAUAUUGAAUAAAUUGCAAAACUUGAUUUCUAGAAGCAAUUCAUAUGAAAUAUCUUUAGAUUAUGAAUUAGAAGGUCUUGGAGAGCAAUUUACCCAAAUUCUAAAUUUUUGGACAAAAAAGGGCUUGCAUGGUUAAAAUUUUAAAGAAAUGGCAUGAAGGCAUUUUGGUCAUUUGGCUUUUUAAUGAAAUAAAAUGAGAAAAAUCAAGCCAAAAUCAGCCAUUUUCUUCCCCAUAGCUGCUAAAAUUCUCUUGUCACCAUAGCUAGGGUUUCAAUGUAACACCCCAAUCCCGUAUUCGUCGCCGGAAUAGAUAAAGGGGCAUUACCAGUCUUGAAACUCAUAUCAGAACAGUAAAAUUUUUUUUUUUUGAACAUUCCUUUAGAUAAGUACUAGAGACAGUCAGGGAUACAAUUUAAACUUCUAUAAGUACACAUUCAAAAGAUGCCAUUUUCGCAUGGGUUAUAUACAUUAACCAAAAUAUCCUCUCACUACUAGUCUAUUCUAUACAUGCCAUAAGAUAAUCCAAAACGUAGCGGUACCAAACAAUGGAUAGUGAUAGUGUGACUAGUUGCUGAUGAUCCCCGAGCCUGUAGCUUCGUAAUGAGAUCUAUAAAAUAGAGAAAACAAAGUAAACGGAGUAAGCAUUACAAUGCUUAGUAAGUUUUAAGCAGUGACAACAGAUAACAAUCAAAUUAUAACAUAGUUGUUCAUAUUUUUAUUUCACUCUUCCUUCGGGCAUACCAUCCCUUUACCGAAUAUGCACAUCUCAUCAUAUACAAUAGGCAGAUAAACUUUCACAUAAAAGUGAGCUCAUGUGACAUAGAUAUAUUGUAUGAUUUCACAUAUCCUCUCACACUGAUCCGAAGUCACAUAAUCAUAGGAAUAGUCUCAUAGAUUGCUCUCAUAUGCAUCACAUAACUACCUUAUGAUUUAGUUCAAAUCAAGCUCACAUAUAAACUUGGAGUACAUACCUGUUUAACCUUUCGCGUUGAAUAUGUUUAUAUGCAAUUCUUAUUACGGAGUCUUAUAGCUCUAACCUCUACUCGGAUUAUCGGCGAGACCUUUAGCUCAGACGAAAUCUCCACAUGAAGUUAUCGGGUCUUACCCGGACAAAAUCUCCACACGUAGUCAUCGGGUCUUACCCGGAUAAAAUCUCCACACGUAGUCAUCGGGUCUUACCCGGAAUAUAUUUCCAAGUUUCAUGUACAUUUAAUCACAUGUUACAACAUUCACAUCGACUGUCAUAUUUGUAAUUCAUUUGCCUCAUCCAAAAAUCUAAUAAUACACACCUUUCACCGUUUGUCAUUUGGCCACAAUAUAUAUAUACACAUCUCGUACAUAUCUCACAUUAGCCAUUUGGCUUUACCACAUAUCCAUCUCAUACACGUUUUGCAUUAGCCAUUCGGCCUUACCACAUAUAUUCAUGUUCACAUUCAUCACAUUGGCCAUUCGGCCUUAUCUCAUAUAUGCAUGUUCACAUUCAUCACAUUGUCCAUUCGGCCUUAUCACACAUACGCAUGUUCACAUUCAUCACAUUGGCCAUUCGGCCUUAUCACACAUACGCAUGUUCACAUUCAUCACAUUGGCCAUUCGGCCUUAUCACACAUAUAUAUACGGGUUCACAUUCAUCACAUUGGCCAUUCGGCCUUAUCACACAUACGCAUGUUCACAUCCAUCACAUAAAAUCCUAAAUCAAAAUAUAAAUUUUCAUGUAUUCACAUCACAAUUAUCCAAAUAUACUUCACAUACCACAUAUACUUUCACGUAUACACACUGUCUUGGCUGAAUCUACAUCUAUCAUUUUCCAAUAUCACAAUUUAGAAUUCACGUAUGGGUUUAAUCAAUAGCUUAUGAGCAACUAAAACAAGUUUAUCAAGGUUUACAACAUAAUCUCAAAUUCAGCACAAGCUGUUUUUCCUGAGCAAUAGUCACUAAAUUAUUUAUAACUGGAGCUACAAAACUCCAAAUCACUUUCUGUUAAUUUUUCCUGAAUAUAGACUCGUAUAUAUUCCAUCCAUAAAAUUUCAAGAAUUUUAGGUUUGGCCAAUCAAUACCAGAUUUUUCUUAAAGUUUCCCCUGUUUCACUGUUUGACUAAUCUGACCACUCUUCACUAUGAAUCAAAUUUCUCAUUUUACAGAAUUCAAAAUGUGUUUUAUUUGAUUUCAUUUGAAACUAGACUCAUUAAGGAGUCUAAGCAUAUAAAUUUUAUCUUAUAACCAUUUUUGUACAAUUUAUAAUGAUUUUCUUAAAACCGAAUAGGGGAUUUAGGAGUCAUUCUGACACCGUCUCACACAACUUUAAAUAUCUCUUUAUAGGAAAUUUCUUUGCUCACAAGGUCUCUUUUAUAAGAAACUAGACUAAUUAAGCCUUGAUUACAUAUUUUAUGCAACCUAUAAUUCCACACCAACAAUUUAUAGUGAUUUUCUAAAAUCACGUUACUGCUGCUGUCCAAAGCAAAUUAUUACAAUUUGCUCUUAAAUUUCCAAGUCCAAACACUUAUGAACUUACCAUUUGAGUUUAAGACAUAUCAUGGCCACAUCAUAUCUUAUUAAAUCAACUCAUUAUGUCCUAUUAUGAUUGAAUUUACUCAACGUUUAAUCACUUAAAACUUACCUCGGAUGUUGUCGAACGAUUUCGGCGGCUAUUCGAUCACUUUUUCCUUUCCUUUAUCCAACUUUGGUCCUCUAAGCUCUUGAGCUAAUUCAAACAAAUUUAACUUAUUAAAGUCUCAUUAUGCUAGCUUAUGGCCUAAUGUACAACAUCAAUCUAUGCAUUCAUUCGUGUGGCCGAACAUGCAUGUCUAUGUUGAGGCCGAUUGCAUACUUAAUACAUUCUACAAGUAUGGUCACUUGUAUUGACCAAAUACCAUUUUGUUUCAAGUUCAAAACUUGGCUAAUACACAUAUAUGCACUAUUAAAACAUCCUCUCCAUUCCAUCAAUUCAACACAUGCAUUACUCAUUAAUAUACAAAAUUAUAUUCGGCCUUAGCACACCUCUUGCUGGCUGAAUUUUUUCUCCAUCUAGCAACAUUUUAUGUACUAUGCCGAACCAAAAAGAUCAAACGCCUAGCUUAAUCAUUUCCAAAACACUUAACCAGCCUUUGACCAAGACUUUAAACAAAGUCUAUGUUCGGCUAUCACACAUAUGGGCAUUAUUAGUUCAAAGUUUUAACAAGAUUAAUUUCUUUGAUCUUAACCUAAAUGACAACCCCCAUUGUUCAUCUAGAUUUAGCAUGAAACAAAUACCAACCAAGAAAACAACACCCAUGGCCGAGUAUCAUCUUCAUCACAUAGCAAGAUUUAAACCAUAGGCUAGGUAGAACUCAAACUAACAUCAAAAAUAUGCAUGAAUCUCAUGGAACAACAUCAAACUUACCUUAACCUAGCUACAAGCAUGGCCGAAUCUCUUCAACAUUUCCUCCUCCUAAACACCAACCAACCGAACAUGAAGCAAGAACUCCUUCCUUCUUCCUUAGAAUUUUCAGCCAAAAGAAAUGAAAGAGGAUGAACAAAUUUUUUUUUCUUUUCUUCACUCACGGCAAUGGGGGGGGGGACAAUCACACACAUCCUUUCUUUUCUUUUUUUUUGUUUCUCAUCCUACUAACACUAAUAUUUUAUUGCCCAUGCCCUUUAUUUUAUUAAUCCUUACAUAAUGCACUACCCCAACAUGUUUAUGACAUGUUUUUAGCCAUAACAUCUUGUCCACCCAUGCUCAUGGCCGGCCACUACAUAUUAGGGAGAAAAUUGACAUGCAAGUCCUCCCUUUCGAUUACAUGCACUAUUAGGUCAUUGUAGAUUAGCCUAUCACAUUUCAAAAAUGUCACCCAUAAGUCUUUUUGACUAAAUUCACAUGCAAUUUACUAAAUCGAAGCCUAAAGCUUUCACACAUUCAUAUUCACAUAUUUUAGACAAUAAUUAUCAUAUUCAAAUAAUUUGGUGACUCAGUUUAGCGGUCCCGAAACCGCUUUCCGACUAGGGUCACUUUAGGGGUGUCACAUUCAAGCUUUCCAAACUCAAUAGUAAGUGCUCCCAAGCCCCGUUUUUAAUGUUCUUUGUAUUUUUGAAAUCUUGGUAGCUUGCUCUCUCCAUUUCUACCCAAAUUUCAUGCUAGGGUUCAUGUUUAAAAAUUUACCCAUGCAUGAUUUUCUUGUAUUUUGAUAGAUUAUGGAGGAAUAUGAAAUAUUAAUUUGUGUUAAACAUCUUUUCCUAGUUGAUUUUCAUGAGAAAACCUUAUAGGGACUAUUUUGCAAAAGAUAUAAAUGUGUGGUAGAAAUGAGAAAAUAAUGGAUAAUGUGGGCUACCAUAAGAAGGAAAGGUGUUCAGUUAGGCUUGGGUAAGAUAAAAAGUGCAUGUGUUUCAUUAUACGAGCCUAGGGAUUAAAUCGUAAAAAUGUGAAGGGUUAGGGGCAAAACGGUCAUUUGGACCGAAGGUAGAUAUUAAACUUGAAAUGUAUAAUGUGGAGUAUUAAUGAGUUAAUUUUGCUGUUAUAGACCCCGAGGAACAAAUUUCGGAGGUCGACCGUGGUAAACGUAAGGUUUCGGAAUAACCGAAACAUAUCUCUGAAACGAAUACCAGGUAAGUUCGAAUAACUUAAAGUAAACCCCUAAUAUGCAUUAUUGAAUGAUUUAUGAAUACAUGAUGAUUGCAUUUAUUAUUAGUAAGAAAUAUCAUGGAAAUGCAUAUUUGAUGGUAACAUGUGAAAAAUGUCUCGGAUGAGGUUGACAAAGGGAAUUCGAUGGAUAAACCCUCAUUGAUAUGUGUAAAGAGAUCCUACAUGUGUUGCAGUAAGGAUUUAGCCCGGACGGGUAAUCCGUGAUCUCAAGUAUGGAAAGGAUCUAGCCCGGACGGGUGUUCCUUGAAUGAUCGAGCCUCCCAAAGAAUAUAUGUGCAUUGAGGAUUUAGCUCGGACGGGUAAUCCUAUUAGGGUCUGAAUUUAGCCUGGACUGGUAAUUCAGAUCCGAGCUCAUUAAGGGUGUUUGUGACUAUAAAGGAUUUAGCCUGGACUGGUAAUCUCGACAUCACCUUAUGAGUUUAUGAUAUGGGGGAUUCAGCCUGGACUGAUAAUCCUACCCUGAGAUGUGAGGUUCGCGGGAGUGCAUAUAUGUGAAAUAAUCAUUCGUAAGAAUUGACGGAUAAUGGGUAUUCCAUCGAGAUUUCCUAGAAACUCAACAGGAUUAAUAUGACAUACGUCAAUAAGAUGAUGAAUGAUGAGCUCAUCUACAUAAAUUACAUGAUACUUUGUUAUGUGAUUAACUCAUUGAUUGAGUGCAUGUGAUAGGAAAUCAUUUCAUAAUUGAUGAUUUCAUGAUUUAAGUGUGGAUGUAUGCUAAUUACUCGGUAAGUUUACUUUCCGGUUAUUCGAGCUUACUAAGCAUGAAAAUGCUUAUCCCCUCUCUUUUCCCUAUUUUACAGAGCUCGAGGACUCAUAAGGAUUGGAAGACGGUUGGAGAAGCAACACACUAUCAACUAGUUAAGCUUUGGUAUAAAGACACUUCUAUUUUGUUAAUGGCAUGUAUAGAGCUUUCAGUAUUUUUUCAUAUGUGUCAUUUGAAUUGCCAAAUGGAGGCAUGUAAAGAUGUAUUCAUCUUUUUGUAUAAGGCCAUGGAAAUUGGCAUAAUUGAAAGUAGGCUAUGACUUGUCUUUAUAUGCAUGUUUAUGUUCUUAUAUGAUGGGUUGCUACAAUUGGCAAUGAGUUCAAAAACGAGCCAAAUUUUGAAUGUGCUACAACAACAUAAGAACCCAUAACUACUAGAUGAGAAAUAACCUUUUUGUAUGAAACCAAUGAUAUGAGGUUUUCAUACAACUAACUUCAUCAAGAUCAUUUACAAGUGUAUAAUCAUGUUUUACUUUGAAUUUGGUAUCUAUAAGAAGAAGAAGAAGUAGAAAGGGGUGACAAAAGGCUUGGAAAAUAGCCUAUUAAUAUCCAUAUGGUUAGACACACGGGCUUGUGUCUAGGCCGCGUGUGA
rnacentral:lncRNA from 1 species